rnacentral:rRNA from 1 species
AUUGAACGCUGGCGGCAGGCCUAACACAUGCAAGUCGAGCGGAUGAAGGGAGCUUGCUCCUGGAUUCAGCGGCGGACGGGUGAGUAAUGCCUAGGAAUCUGCCUGGUAGUGGGGAUAACGUCCGGAAACGGGCGCUAAUACCGCAUACGUCCUGAGGGAGAAAGUGGGGGAUCUUCGGACCUCACGCUAUCAGAUGAGCCUAGGUCGGAUUAGCUAGUUGGUGGGGUAAAGGCCUACCAAGGCGACGAUCCGUAACUGGUCUGAGAGGAUGAUCAGUCACACUGGAACUGAGACACGGUCCAGACUCCUACGGGAGGCAGCAGUGGGGAAUAUUGGACAAUGGGCGAAAGCCUGAUCCAGCCAUGCCGCGUGUGUGAAGAAGGUCUUCGGAUUGUAAAGCACUUUAAGUUGGGAGGAAGGGCAGUAAGUUAAUACCUUGCUGUUUUGACGUUACCAACAGAAUAAGCACCGGCUAACCUCGUG